CCUACGGGGGGCAGCAGUGGGGAAUAUUGGGCAAUGGUCGCAAGCCUGACCCAGCAACGCCGCGUGAAGGAAGAAGGCUUUCGGGUUGUAAACUUCUUUUUAGGGGGAAGAGCAGAAGACGGUACCCCUUGAAUAAGCCACGGCUAACUACGUGCCAUCAGCCGCGGUAAUACGUAGGUGGCAAGCGUUGUCCGGAUUUACUGGGUGUAAAGGGCGUGCAGCCGGGGAGACAAGUCAGAUGUGAAAUCCACGGGCUCAACCCGUGAACUGCCUUUGAAACUGUUUCCCUUGAGUGUCGGAGAGGUAAUCGGAAUGCGUUGUGUAGCGGUGAAAUGCAUAGAUAUAAGGAAGAACACCAGUGGCGAAGGCGGAUUACUGGACGAAAACUGACGGUGAGGCGCGAAAGCGUGGGGAGCAAACAGGAUUAGAUACCCGGGUAGUC
rnacentral:rRNA from 1 species